rnacentral:RNase_P_RNA from 1 species
CGAGUAAAUCAGGUGAUCGCGGGUACCAGGCCGAAAGGCGGUACUCGAGGAAAGUCCGAGCUCCACAGGGCAGGGUGCUGGGUAAUACCCAGUGGGGGCGACUCUAAGGAAAGUGCCACAGAAAUAAACCGCCUGCACAUUGGAAGUUGGAUGUUGGAAGUUGGAUGUUAGAAUCGUUGGAAUUUGGCAAAGCCAAAUUCCUUCAUAAUCCAAUCUCCAACCUCUAACCUCUAACUUCCAGUGUGGGGUAAGGGUGGAACGGUGAGGUAAGAGCUCACCAGCGGCCAGGUGACUGGUCGGCUAGGUAAACCCCACCUGGAGCAAGACCGAAUAGAGGGGCAAUGGAACGGCCCGUUCCGCUCCCGGGUAAGGUCGCUUGAGGCGUGCUGGUAACAGCCGUCCCAGAUAGAUGAUCAUCCAACGACAGAACUCGGCUUAUCGAUUUACUCGGUUC